AAGCCUCCAUCCUGCUUCACAUUCAAGGGGCUUCUAGGCCAUUUGCACUUCGUUUACACCUCAUUAAACUGCCCACAUUAUAUGCCUGGGUCCCAGGUGACUGUGGGAAAAGAUCAAGGUUUCCUGCAACCUCACUGGGCAUUUUCAGAAUGAUCUGUACAAGCGUUGACUGAAUGAUUGAUUCCAAGUUCCCCCUUCCUAGGAUUUCAGACCUCCUCUUGACAAGUGAUGAAUGGGCCAUCUUAAUCUUGUUUGGAUCAGAAAGGACCAUACAAUUGAGCUUUAGACAAGACUAAAAAUAUCAAAAGUAGCACUCUGCAAUUUUAUGUGCAUGUGGCUUGAAGCUCUGACAACAACACAAAAGAUUCCCAAAUGUGGUACUCAUUCUACCUGGAUAUACCAGAGGAUUUUGUGGGAAUAAAAGGAUGACUGUUUUUUCACUUGAAUAAUUAGAACCUCCUUUAGACGUCCUUCACUUCCAGGAUCCAGUCCAAACUCCUGGGCUUGGCACAUGAACCCUCCAUCAUCUGGCACCUGGCAGCCCACAUGCUGGAGCCUCACGGAUUUGCUCAUCGCCCUCUGAACACCUGUGGCCUUCUCACUCCUCUGUGUCUUUGCACAUCCUUUCCCCAACCUCAUGCCAGGCCAUUGCAUUGUGAUCCAGGCUCAGUCUUCGUUCUGCUUCGUGGCAUCACAGUCCCUUAUUUGAAACUGAACCAGGACUGCAGUCUUCGACUUUGACAUCAAAUUUGACACCUCAGUGGCCCAAGCUUUCAGAAACUUGGAAUUGCAGACAUUAUGGAUUUGGACCUGCCCUCAGAAGAGCUACCUACUGAAAUAUUUACAAGUGAAAUGAUGUGAGAUGUGGGAUUUGAUUCAAAAUGAUCCUUUAUGUAUGAAGAGUGGGGCGUGGAGAAUGCAUGAAGAUACAGAUAAAAUAAACGUGUCUAUGGGUUAAUA
rnacentral:lncRNA from 10 species